AAGAGAGGACACCUGCUGGUCUGCUUUUGCUUCCCCCUGUCUCUCUCUCUUUCUCUCUCUCUCUCUCUCCUGCAUUAGAAUUCAGUGUCUCGCUUUGCCUAGGCUCACUGAGUGGGUUAGUGAAGCGUGUCACGGUAAGAACCAGUGAAUUGUAAUGAACUGAACGUGUGCGGGAGAAAAAUAGCGAGAGAGAAAGAAAGAAAGAGAUAGAGAGAUGGGGAAAGGGAGGAGAAGAGGGAGGGGAGUAGAGGAGAGGAGAGGAGAGAGGAGGCUUGGUGUGCAUGAGCUGGUUCCCUUCUUCAGGCGCACAGAGCGAAGAGGAUGGGAGAGGCUGUCGGCUGAAUCACCGCCACCUCCGCCACUUCAUCUCUCCCACACUUUUUUCCCAGGCAUGGGGGAGUGUGUGUGGGACAAGAGAACUCGCUUACAUCCUCCCUCGUUCCCUCAUUCCCUCCCUCUUUCCCUCCCUUCCUCCCUCAGACGACUCACUUCUAUAUGAAUCCAUUCAUCUUUCCCCCUCCAUCUCAUUUUUGUCACCCUCCUCCUGUUUUUGUUUCUACAUUUAUUUUCUCUCCACGUGUCUUUCUCUCUCUCUAUCCCACACAACGCUAUCCCACUUGUUUUUUUGUCACGGCCAAGGAAGAGUAAAUGAGCAGCCGGAGAGCCGUGAGAGGAGAGGAUGGAGAAAAGAGGAGAGGGAGCAGGGGGGAGAGCUUUGUCCGGCCGAGGAAGAGAGAGACGGAUGCAGCACCUGCCGCGACUCAGCGCACCGCACUCGUUCUUCCUGUCCGUGUGAUGGAUCGUCCCGGCAAGAGCUCUCCGUGCGAGAACAAAACGCCAAAAAGAAGAAAAGACCCACACCGAACGGGGCAGCUGCUGAAAGAAAACCAAUCCAUCCUCGCUUUUUUUUCUUCAUCUCGGGGUGCAAAACUAUCUUUCGUACAAACUUGUACAGUCGAUUUUUCGGCCUUAACAAUCUCUGAUCCUCUGGCUCCCUCCCUCCCGCUCUCCCCUCCCUCGCUCUCGCUCUCGCUCUCAGAGGCACAGUUUGGGACAUUUUCGGUCUAAUUGUGUAGAAUUCUCAGGACUUCGGCGACUCUGAAAAGCACUUUUCUUUCCGUUUCAUUCCUUACCACACCAAAAGGCCUUUUUGAGUCAGACCCUUGUCCUCUUUUUCGGCUUUUGAGGCCAAAAUAAUUGGAGCUGGAGAUUGCCCGCGCCCUUCCCGAUCCAGACGAGUGGCCAAUCUGUACGGAACACCUGGUGCAGGGUUUGUUUUGUUUUGUUUUUUUGCGGGAAGUGGCAUUUUUUCCCCCUCAAUCCUUGUAUUAUCUGUGGGCAUAAAGAGGUGGUGUGGAGGGGUGGAGAGGUGUGAUGCUGGGGGGGGAGAGGGGGUUGUUGAACCACCCAAGACGUAGCGCUUGAUGAUCCAGAGCCGAUAUACGGGAUACGGAGAGAGAAAGUGGGACCCCUGAGGAGAUUAAAGGAGAGAGAACGGUGGGCUCAGGGAAAGAGGGAGGGAAAGAGGGAGGGCCGAGUCAAGAUUCCGGAGCAAGUACGAGAUGCUAUCCUCGCCAUCCCGUGAGAAUGAGACUCAAAGAGUGAUCGUAGACUUCUUUCCAUCUCGCCACUCCAGAUAUAUUUAACAUUUUUACAUUUUAAGGAAGCAACUCAAGCUGCACCCCUUGACCUUUGAUUACACUUUGCAAUCCAGAAAAGAAAGAACUUGGCACCUUGUACCCCCCCCCCCCCCCCACCCUUUUCUCAUUUAUUCACCAAGGCCCUUCUCUCUCUCUCGCUCUCUCUUUCUCUCCGCUCGCCACAUUUUUUCCCUUCUUCUUCUUCUGAAAGCCGCACAUCGCUAAUCCACAGGCAUUUCGUCAGAUAGCCCGUGCUGAUUUCUGCACUGAUUGGCCGUCUACUUCAGACCCUCUCCUUGUGCACCCCUCCUUCUCUCACUCCUUCGCUCCUUCACUCUCCUUCAUUCUCCUCCCCUCCCCAUCUCUCUCUCUCUCUCUCUCUCUCUCUCUCCCUCUCUCUAUCUCUCUCUCUGCUCCAUUGUCUCAGUGUGCAGUAGCUCGGCUGCUCAGAGCCAAUCCUUUUCACAGCGCCGGCAAGGACAGAGAGCGAGGUUGAGGUGAGUGCAGCUGAACGCAUCCUACACGCCCCUUCUUCCAUAAACGUGAACUCCAGACACAGAUCUAUCUAUCUAUCUAUCUUUUUUUUUUUUGCAAUGACAUUUAAGGUGUGGGUUUUUGCUUUAGUGUUGUUUUGUCUUUGUUUGGAAAGCUUGAGUCAUUUUUAUAUCUUGGUGGAGGAGCUUUGGGGAAGAAUUUUGUGUUGAGUUAUAUUGAAAUGUGUGUGUGUGUGUGUGUGUGUGUGUGUGUGUGUGUGUGUGUGUGUGUGUGUGUGUGUGUGUUUGUUGGGAUGCUAGACUCUUGGUUAGAGUAAGUGUGCCACUGCGUUGACCGAAAGCAACUAACGACUACACUUAGUAGAGUAUCUCCUCGUAUUCGGCAUCCAUGCCAUGCUCACCCCUCACCUACACACUUACACACACACACACACACACACACACACACACACACACACACACUCCCUUUGACAAAUGUAGGUAUUCCCCCAAGGCUCGGACAGAAAUAGAUACGGUGCUAAAUUAGGACACGGUUCUGGGUCUGCGCUGAAAGAGGUACGAUGCUGCACGCUUCCACACUCUGAGAACCUGACGCUUUAACCUUUCCCUUCAAACUUAGCACACACACACACACACACCACACCACACACACACACACACACACACUUAAAAAAAAAUCAAACAUCUUAACUGGAUUUUAGGAUCUUUAAAUUUUGGAUUCGAUCAAUUCUUCGCAUUUCUUUCAACCCCCUAUCCCAAAACAGGAUGGUAUCUCUUGCAUGAAUUGUGCAGUGAGACCUCAACCUGUAACGGACUCGUCAGUACGAUACCAAACGCUCAUAUACAGAACAUGUAAAUAUCCGCUAUCGUCUUUAUUUACGUCCAGCCUGCGUCUUUUCCCUUCGUUAACGCUGCUGGUUUUUCUUUCAGACCAGAUCGCGCGUCUUUGUUCUUGCGCUUUUUUUCCCCCUUUCUUUCGGGUUUUAAAUGUUACACAUUUUCUAUGUGACAGAUAACACAACUUUUCCUGAAAGGUACUCUAAUGCAGCUCACGAAUCCGGCUUAAUCAAUCUUAAAGGAAAGAAAUCGGAUUUUCCACACUGAAACAGGAUUCCAUGUCCUUUUCCCGCUAGUAUAUGUGGGAGCAAAAUGUGUGUGUGUGUGUGUGUGUGUGUGUGUGUGCACAUACAGGUGUGUGAGACAGAAUACCCAUGCUGCGCGUGUAGACUGACAGGAGCUAAAUUAGUCCGGACAGAUUACACUGAGAUCCCGCUCUCUUUAUAACACCUACAGGGGAUGGAGGGAGGGGUGAUGCACACAGAGCCGGCUGGAAACCAGCAGGUUCUCCUCGCCAAUCCCAUCCUGUCCUCUGAAGAGUGAAAACAGAGACAGAAAAAGGGGGAUAGAGAGAGAGAGAGAGAGAGAGAGAGAGAGAGAGAGAGAGAGAGAGAGAGAGAGAGUUAGCAUCACUACAUGCCAAUUCCUUUCCAUUGUAAACGAUACUGAUAUUCAACCAGAGCUAAUCAGUCAUUUUGGUCCUCUUGUCUCCUUCACUUCACCUGAGACACCCCACCAUAAACGUUUCACCAUCAUGAGACUAAAGAUUGACGUCAUUGGUGAGGGAACCCGUUGGUGCGCAGCUCUACCUGCAACAAGUUUAGGGCGUUCCCAUCAUCCUCUAAUUUAUUACCUUUUUUAGGGGAAAAUAUCUGAAUUUGGGGAAAAAAAUUAUUUUUUAAAAAAAUUACCUUUCCGGGGAAAUGUAAAAGCAAACGUGGGGGAAAAAAGUUUGAAAAAUUGUACAUUUAGGGGAAAAUAGAGCAAUAAUGGGGGGAAAUGUCCUCCAAAAAAUUGGGGGGAAAUAAUUAAUUUGGGAAAGAAUUAUGGGGAAAAUGUACAUUUGGUAGAAGAGGGAUAUUUAAAAAAAAUAUGCUGGAGAAAACAAAAAUAAAUUUAUGCAAAUGUUUGUGGGUAAAUUUGGAAAGGGAUUUUUUUUAAUGUUGUAAAAAUGUCAAAUGGGGAAAAUAGUAAGGGAAAUGUAGAGAAAAAUAUCCAUUUAGGAAAUAAAUGUAAAGAAAAUGUAAAAUGGGAAAGGGGUAAUGUAAAAAUUAAAUCUGGACAUUUUUGAUAAAAUAUGUAGGAAACAAUGUAAAUCUAGGGAAGGGGAAUGCAAAUAAAAAAUAAUGUACAAAAAAAGUCAGUGAAAAAAUGUACAUUUGGUCAAAUGUAAAUUUGGGAUAUUUUUUUCUGUAUUGUAAAAAAAAUGUGCAUUUAAAAAAUAAAUGUAAAGAACAUGUAGGGAAAUGUCAAUUUAUGUGGAUAAUAUCAAAUUAAAAAAUUUUAAAAAAGGAAAAAAGAUAGCAUGUACACUAUGGUAUAGUCUAUAGUCAGUAACUGAGAGACGGACAGUAGACAGAAUAAAGGGGGAAAUCCGAGAGGGAAAAAAAAGACUGGGGCAUCCUUCACACACAUGCUAAGAGCUCUCUAGCACAGAAGUGCGUUCAUGCUCAUGAGUCCAGUCACGGUUUCUACGACCUAUAACCUCUUGAGUUUGUUAGUGCUAUUGGUUAGAUCUUUUAAGGUGUUUCCUUGAUUGCGUCGUCAUGGUAACAUGUUUACUACUACGGACAAAAGUGUUCUCGAGGCUGAUCCGAGAAGUUCUCGGAGAUGAUCACGACUCUGAAGGGUUCUUGGAAGGUUCUUGUGCGGUGUGAAGUAGGGUAAGGUUUGCCAAGAUUACGUCAUAUUUUGGAGCGUGGUGUUGAGUGGUGCUGGUGAGGUGGGUGUGGCCAUGAUCCUAGUGACUGGGUAGUGCUCCUGCUUCCAAUGGGGUGUGGUUUUCUUCUUUACUUCAUUGUAUUUAGUGUGCGCUUGGGUUGUACGUGGACACGGUGCAGCAUAGUAACGAUGCCAAUGGAGCUCAUGAAGGAGAAUUUGAAAAUUCUGUUUAAACCGAGCGCAAGGUUGAUUUGUUUAGCUCCUGAUUUUUGGCUUUUUUGAUUAUUCAGUAUUCAAUCAGCCCAGAAUAGUGCUGAUACACAAAUAUAGACAGAGCCAAGAAGCCCAGGGCUUGAGCAGCUUGACUAAGCUGUGGAGUGUGUGUGUGUAUGUGUGUGUGGUUUUGGCUGGUAUUCAUGGCUGUGACUGUGUUAGCGAGGGGGGGACCCCAACCCACCACAAGGCAGCCGGCACCAUUGCAUCACUGUGUGAGGGAGAGGAGGAGGAGGAGGAGGAGGAGGAGGAGGAGUGAGUGAGCGAGUGAGUCAGGAGACAUAUUUCCAUCCAAAUGUUGUUUUCUGUUCAUGGAUCCAGUGAAAUUGUCGUAGACUAUUUAUGCAACAAUUUAUUACACCCUUAGUGGCUAAUUUUAGCUCUGAUUGGACAUAACAUACAUAACAAUCCAAUGCCUGGAAAGAGAGUAACCAACAUGUCAUUUAACUUUAGCUACUGAUUAAGAUUAUAAAAGGUGCGUAGAGAUGUAACUAAUUAUUGAUUACAUUUAUUUAUUUAAAGUGGUUUAUAUGUUUGUUUUUCUUUUACCUCACCAAAUGGUAUUUUGUUUUUGCAAACUAUGAUGAGUUAUUAUCACAUAGCAAAGCUAUAUACACCUCCUCGUAUAGAUGUGCCGCUAUCUUCCUCCAAUUUAUUUAUGUUUUAUGGGGAAGAUGUAACUUUGGGGGGGGGGGAAAAUGUCUGUAUGUUAUGUCUUUAAAAAUUGGGUGGAAAAUGUAGAAAAAUAUUAGGAAAGUAUGUGAAUUUGGGGAAAAUUUUGAAAAGAAAAAUGUAGGAGAAAUGUACAUGGGGGAGUAAGAAAUGCCAAUUUGGGGGAAAAAAAAAUUAUUUUAAAAAUUGGAUUAAAAAAUUUACAUAAAAUGUUAAGAACAGUUUUUAAAUUGGUAAAAAUGUACAUUUGGGUAAAUUAUAGGGAUAAUGUAAAAGGAAAAUGUAAACUUGGGAGGUAAUUAAAAAAUAGUGCAGAAAAAUUAGGAAAAAUGUCAAUUAGAUUUGUAAAACUGGGGAAAAUUGGUACAAUUUGAAGUGUAUUACAAAUAUCUUGAUGAAAUAUUAAAUAAAAUGGAGGGAAAAUGCAAUUCUGAGGGGGAAAUUUCCAAAAAUAUAAUUAGGAAAAAUUUAUAAAUUUGAGGACAAUGCCCAAAAAAGUCUAUAUACCAGAAAAUGUCAAAUAUAAUGUAGUAAAAUGUCAAUGUAAAUUCAGGGCGAAAAAUAUAAAAAAUGUAAAUUUGGGGGAAACAAUAGGGGAAUUCAAAAUUUGGGGAACAGGUCAAAAUAUAUGUAGGGAAAAUAUAAAUUUGUGGGAAAAACAAAAAAUUGUAAAUUUGGGAAAAUUGACCAAAAAAAAUAUGUUGGAAAAAAUUUUGGGAAAUGUUAAAACAAAUCUAGGGGAAAAUUUUGAUUUGGGGGCAAAUGUAAAAUAAAAUGUAGAAUUAUUUUAAUUUUAGGAGAAACUGUAAAAAAAAUGUAGGGAAAUGUAAUUUUGAGAAUUUUAUCUGUGUCAUUAUGGUCUUUGUAUCGUUUUUGGGAUCAUUUUAGCAUAGAUUAGAAAGAUAGCUACAGUCAGUGACUAAGUGAUAAACAGGAGAGAGAGAGAGAGAGAAAGAGAGAGAGAGAGAGAGAGAGAGAGAGAGAGAGAGAGAGAAGCUAAAAAAAAGGCCGAGAGAAAAAAUAGAAAUGCGAGUGGAGCAUCCUUCACAUGCAUGCUAAGAGCUCUCUCGCACAGAAGUGCGGUCAUGCUGGAGUCCAGUCACAAUGCCUACGACUCAUAACUCACACUCUGAGCGGAUCCUACACCUUCUCCUCCUCACUCAGCUCUACUCUCUCCUAUCAAUUAGGCUAACUCAAUGCUAACGCUUUUCAGUGGUGAAUAAAUUGCAUGAAGCUCUGGUUCCCACCUCCCCCUACACACACACACACACACACACACACACACACACACACCCUCCCAUUUCUCUCCAGAGGUGUGUAGGGGAAAAACAACUCGCGCCUCCGCAGGGGAAAGGCAUUUGCCACAGAUAAAGCUAAUUUAAUCUGAUGAAAUGUGACAUUUCGCUAUGGCCAGAAAGUGCACGUCUCACGUCAAGAUUAAUGAAUCGCCAGCAGCCAAUCUUUUAAACACAUGACACUAAAGGCGAUGCUGAGACACCGGGGUGUGGUUUUUGGUAAGAUGAAUAAUGAAAUAUAAAUUAAUAAGAAGAAAAACGUGGGAUGCAGCUACCGGAAUCCUGCUGACGGAGAUGCUGAAGGCGGAUACUUUGAUUAGAAGUGAGAAGUUGUUUCAUACUUCUCUGCAUUCCUUCCGUUCUCUCAGUCCUCCUCCUCCUCUUCCUCAUCCUCCUCCUCUCUUCUGUUCGAAUUGUGUAACCAGCACGUGUGUGUGUGUGUGUGUGUGUGUGUGUGUGUGGCUGUUUACUCGUGUGGUUAACAGUGUCGAUGGUUGGUAAGGGGAAUUUCCUUGUGCCUUGCCAAGACGAGGCAGAUUGGCGCUCAGCUUGUGCCAGGGUUGCGCUAAAUAAUUAUUACCUCUCAGAAUUACUUACGGUCUGCUGAGUAGCAUUUCAUUGGCAAAUAAAGCCCAUUAGCUCCAAACUAUCGGCUUUCUGUGCAAAACACUGUAAUUAUUCGGGACGCGCUUCCCGGGUUGAUGGAAAAAGGAGGGCAUGGAGACGUCGUGGCCCCCAUGUAGCCGACUGUAGACAGGUUUCCUUUCCUUUACGCUGUGCUCCGACAUCACCUUGACCCUCGCUGUCUCGUAAAUUCCGCAGGGUGACAGGAUGUCCUCAUUACCGAAAGAAAAAGAGGGCGUUCUGUGUUCGCCAGUGGACUCGAUUAACAUAAAGUGACACUGAGCAAAAACAAGAAAAAGACCCGUGGCCUUGAAUUUGCUGCACGUGACGAGCUGAAAGCGCCUUUGUGAGGAAGAUAACAUAACGUAGAUGACGGAGCACACUUGUCACUUUCUAACAAUAUGUUCAAGCGUCAAUUCCUUGCUUACAAACAUCCGGAUAAAUGAAUAACGAUAAACGAAUAACGUGACUCGUGACAAUGUUUCCAGUUUAAUGCUAUGCUACUAAUGACUACAAUGGUUUGUUUCACACUGGCACUUCUUUUAACUAGUGGCACACACUCUGAACUGAUGAGAUACAGAGAACAAAUGCGUAUUUCUAUGCUAUUCGUCUUUAAAUGUUGUGCUUUUCCAACUAGCCGUGUCAUCAGUUUGCUAAUCAGGCCAAAGAGGGUAAAUAACCUCUUUGAUAGCCACCAGAAACUCUUUCCUUUCUCUAUGAGCUACCUCUAGCUACAGUUUUUCCCCUCUUUUGGCUGCUCCCGUUUGGGGUCACCACAGCAGAUCACCCCUCUGAAUAUUUUGAUUCUGGCCCAAGUUUCAUGCCAGAUGCACUUCCUGAUGCAACCCUCCUCAUUUCCAGGCUUGGGACCAGCACUGGCUCGUGCAACCCUCUAGUGGCUACAAUUGGGGAAUUGAACCCAGAUCGUGGCGAUGAGAGCGCUUCAUAGCUGCCUACAGUUAAAUAAUUUACAUAAAUGUAUGGCCGCAACACAGGAUCUACUCGGUCCACCAGUUGUUGCCGGUUUAGAGGAAGAAAACCAUUCAUCUUGAUUAUUUGCGUUUCCUGCCUCCACACUUUAUAGCAGGGGUCAUCGUGGUCCGGACGUGGACCUUGCAAAGUAUUUCAGCUGAUCGAAUUUAGUGCUUGGAAAAGCACCAUAACCAACUCGUCCAUAGUCCGUAGUUUGGACCAAACUACGUAGUAACCGUCAUUAGGGUUAACCCUAACCCUAACCAUUGCUGAUACGUUAGCAGAUGCUCUGUUGCAGCCAAUCAUGUUUAAUAUUUAUCUGAAGGCAGCUCAUUAGACCAGAGACUAGCUACAAGGGGUAAAGAUAUUAACUCAGAAUGUCAUUGCGAGAGUUUUAUUUACACUCUCUGGUCUGGUUAACGCACUGAUGACAUGUCUUGGUUAAAGAAGUUGACGGAAGCAGAAUUUUUAAAGAUGAGUGGACAGCGAAGACAAAUUCAAAACCGAUGUGUCUAGGGAGAAGUGCACAACUGUGUAUAAACUUCUAAAUCGUCUUAUUUAUAGCCAUUACAGGUCAUUGUUGUCAUCAUUUGGUCAUGUUAGUCACUUAUGUGAAAUUUUAUAAGUAAAGAAUUCAGCAGUUUAGUUGAAUUUAGUUGAAUAUUGCUGCUCUAUAGUACUCUGCAGUACCUCCUCCAUCCCUGAAUAACAAGCUCACCGUUUUAUAACACCCUCUAUGCACUGCUGUAAGGCUUUAGAUAAUCCUUCCAGAACAAACAAAAAAAAAAUAGAAAAACCUAUUUUUAUAAAAUACGUCCAAUAUGUUUAGAGCUUAAAUAUCCUCAUGUCCUUGUAUUCAUUUUUCUUUUUCUUUAAGUGAGCCCUCUGUGGCUUAGCAGGCUUGGAUAGUCUUAGUCUCCGUGAAAGGAUCCAUCCGUAUGAUUAGCGGCUUGGUUUAAAAGGUUGCCUAAUAAUGUUGUGACUGUUAAUAAGCACUGCUUACACUUUUCUAUAGGCAGUGUGUAUAUAAUUAGCCGGGCUGGGAUGAGCCGGGCUGUUUAAUCAAUAGGCUAAUGCACGGCUCAAAAGGAGCCGGGAAAGAAUAGGGCCAGGGAGUACUGCUGCGAGGCACAAAGGCCACAAAGGGAAUGGCUGUCUCUGCUUAAGUCUCAGCAGAUCAAUUUGCCAUAUCCUGAACAGCCUGUUUAAAAAGAAACCCAGAAUAAGACGGCGUGUCCUGUGUGUCCCGUCCUCUAGGGGGAGACGUCAAUCUUGCACAAAUAGCCGGCUUCAGUGGAGGACUAAGAAAAUGGCUUUUCUAUUUCACACACACACACAAAAAAAACCCUCACAACUUACUCUUACUCUCUGGUUACUUCCCUGCCGCUCAUAUCGAUUAGACCAUGAUAGACAGGCAGUGCUCGGUUUCAUUUGUGACAAAAUGUAUCCUCACAAAGAGCUGUUUACUUAGGAAAAAGGACGGAGGAAAAAAAAAGAGAAGGACGAGUGAAAAAAGCAGCGUGAAUGAAGGCUUUGUUCGCCGAGGCCUAGGCGCUGCAUGAGAGGAUGCAGGGCACUGAUGGAUAGUUAUACCUGGCUCCCCCCUGGUGCCUCAAAUGCCUCAGCUAGAUACCACGGCUUGAUACAAACGCACCCUCUGUCCACCUCCCCCUCUCUCACUCCCCCUGGACUGGCUUUGUGUACGAACAACCGGAGCCUUUUCCUGCCUUCGCUCUUUUUUUCAGUGGCCUUUCCAUUUUCCGCUCAAGCCGAAGAAGGAGGGGUUUGGCAACUUGUCCAGGCUCACCUGUGGAUGGUAAAGUGGGAGGCUUGUCUGGUGAGAAAAGAAGACAAAAAGCAGUUGAUCUUUGUGUGAAUCUGAAAAUCUGUGACGUACGUUUUUAAGUUUUUAGGAAGGGAUAACGUCAGUCGAAGCUGUCGAACGGAUUCUAGAAGUAAGGAUGGGCAGCGCUAAGAGAUUCAACAAUGGAGAGGUCUGUUGUUGUUGUUUUUUCUCCUUGAAUAAAGGUAGCAGGUGUUCAGGAUUGUGGUAUUGAUUAAACUGCUGCAAUAUAAACGUAGCUAUGUGUAGAAUGGUUUUAUACGCUCUUGAAUCCGUUGACGUAUGGAUGUUUCGUGAAGGACAGAGUGCACAAGAAUUGUUGCACAAAGUCAACAGCAGGAAGAGAAGAACCAGACUCUAAAAGGAACCUGUCCUCUUCUCUGUGGCACUGGAUAGUAGGAUUACAACAUCGUUAUGGUGUACUGGUGUAGGUAGAAGAGUAAAGCCAAACAGUACUGGUGUCUUGAAAGGAUGUUCAGAAUGAGAUUGUGAAUGAGUCCUGGCUGGGAUGAGCAACAGGACCGUCUUUAUGAUAUCAGCAGAAGUUAGUAGGUACAACUCUACAGUAUCUAGGUGAGAUUAAACACUGAAGCAAGACUGAGAAACUGUUUUGGGGGCGUGCAAAUCUUUAGGAUAUCCAUGAGUUCAUGUAUGUUUAGAAUUACAAAGUAUGUCCAUGUUUGUCUUGACCUUCAAGAAUCACAGGGUUAAUGAGAUAUGUAAUAGGGCUGUAAUGCAAUGCCACUAUCUGUAACUGCAUUUCUUUAAUGCUCCAAACAUUGUGCCUAGAACUUAGCUCACUCCAUCACUCCAGUCCAUAAUUGGUCUCAACUAGAGAUUCAUUUUUUGUUUGUUCGUUUUAUGAUAUUUUUUUUAAACAAAUGUAGUUUCCCAAAAUUGAAACAAACUAGUAGUAUAAUUUAAACUGCUGUGACCAUGAUGAGGCAGUAACUAAGGAUGAAUUAAUGAAUUGCACAAACCAGUCUUUCUUUAUCCCGCUCGCAUCAAAAGUAAAAACCUUCCACUCUCAUGACUCACCCCCCGGGCAGGGUCUUGAUACAUACCUCUAAUCUACAUCAAAUGCUUUGUGAACCUUUCUGGCUUUUUUGUUGUUGUUGAACCAAACACACCUCUAAUAUACGUAUAUGUAUCUGUUUAGAACAUCUGUUUGAUUCUGAAUAACAUGUUCCACCCGUAUGUACUGUAACUUGUAGAGAAAUUUGAAAAAACUCCAGGAACUUUCACUCCAAGGUAACAUCGCCAAACUAUUUUGUGACCUCGAGGACUAAACUAAGAGGACUAGCAUGACGGAUUGCCUCUCACAACCUGUGUGACUUUCUUUUACUUCUCCAUUCUUUUUUUCUUUCUGAGAAAGUAUAAAUCACUUUCCCCCUUGUUCACCCUCCAUUCCCACAACCCCUCCUUUCCCCUUCCAUCAACGUUCCCUCUCUUUCUCAGACAGGGUUGAGAUAGAUAAGCACCACUGAUCAAUGAGGUGCUGCUGUGCUCUUUAACUAGACUCUUUCUCCACACUCGGAGUGUGGGCACCGCUCCACUCGCCAUCCAUUUUUACCCCUCUCUCCCUCUGACCUAAUGGAUCUGUGAAGCGGAGGAGAUCGACUUCUUUUUUUGUUUGCUCAUUCGUUCCUUCUCAUCGCGCUCUGAAAGGACUGAUGUGCACGAGGCGAAAACCAAUCAAUUGCUCUGCGUAUGGAUCUUUCUUUUUCUUAUUAUUUGUAAAAUGCCAUAACCUGGUCGAAAAGUCAGCCCUGAUGGAAUUCUGAUCAGGGGCGAGAAAGAAAUAUUAAAUAUUUCACAGCUGACCCUGACAGCUGUGACAGUGGGUUUGAGAGAAAGAAAGAAAGAAAGAAAGAAAGAAACAAACAAACAAACAAACAAACAAACAAACAAACAAACAAUGACAUAAAAAAGAAAAAACAAAGAAUGAAAGGUUCAACAGAAAAACAUCAAACAAAGAAAGAAUUGAAGAAAAUUGAAACAGUUAAGUAAAAUAUUUUAAAAAGAAAGAUAGACAGAAACAAUGAAGUAAAAAUGAAAGAAAGAAAGAAAGAAAGAAAGAAAGAAAGAAAGAAAGAAAGAAAGAAAGAAAGAAAGAAAGGAUAGUGAAAACAUCAAAUGUAAGGAAAGAAAGAAAAAAAUGAUAGAAAGAAAGAAAAAAUUAAGAAACAAUGAAGUAAAAAAAAUCAACUGAAAGAAAGAAUGAAGUAAAAGGUUAAAAAAGAAAGAAAGAAUGAAAGAAAAGAAACAUUGGAGUAAAAAUAAAUGAAAGAAAGAAAGAAACGAUAGUGAAAAACAUCAAACAGAAAGAAAUAAGAAAUAAAAAGAAAGAAAGAAAUUAAGAAGAAAGAAAGAAUGGAGUAUAAAAUUAAAAAGAAGGAAAGAAUGAAUGAAGUAAAAUAAUAAACGGAAAGAAAGCAGAAAAUAAUUCAAUGAGGAUGAAAAGAAAAACGCAUCACUGCUGAUUGGUGACUGUGAGACGUUGAGCUUUAGUGUAAUGUGUAACUGUCACUCUUCGCUGUUUUCUCACAGGAGGGAUUUAAAACGGGUGGCUUUGUGUCGUAGGAAAACUCGGAUGGAAUAAGUCUGACUUUUCAUUUUCAUUGUUGACCAACAGGAUUAGCAGGAUUUGGUUUCUCAUAUCCACGCCUAGAAAACCUUUGGCUCUUUGGCUUACUGGGAAUUAAAUAAAUAAAGUAGAUUACUUCCUGUUUCCUCAGAGAUUUUGAUGUGUAUUAGGGAUGGAACUGAAUACGUUAUUCGGAAUGAACAGAUAAUGUGCUAUAAAUAGACACAAAUACAGAUGUGAUUCUUUUCUUCUUCUUCUUUGCUUUAUUAGAAAGCUUGCCAGAAAGGUUCACAUAACAUCUGGUUGAGACUAGGAGUGUUCAUCGCUACUGGAAUCCUAUGGGAUACAACAAAUAAUAUAAUUCUGGGGGGGGGGCUACGCAGGCACAACGAGUUGCGCGAUUCAUCCUUAGUAACCGCCUGGACAGGGUUGCAGUGAUUUCAAUUAGCCUGCUAGUUUGUUUAUAUUUUGGGAAGAAGAUCCAACUAAAUUGGUUAUAAAGUGAUGUAGCUGAGGCAGUUGAGGAACUGUCAGAACCAGAAUUCAUCUGUUUAUGGAGGCAUAGUGUUCAUAGGGUUCAUAUUUAACUUAACUUAACUUAAACGAGAUAUACUGUUUAUACACAGUAAAGUAUUUGCAUUUGAUCAGUCAACAUAGUCAGUCCCUCCAAGAUUUAGCAAUUUCACAGAAAUGAAAUGAAAUGAAAUCUCAUAAAAUCACAAAAUCCCAACGCGCAGUGCAUCGAACAUGAGUACAGCUAAAAGGUCUCAUUUACAAAAAAAAACAUAGCUGCGAAAGAGCGCAUGAAACAAAUUCGCGCAGUUGCGAUUUUGCCAAUUCAAUUACUUUUCACAAAAAAAGCAGAAAAAUCUGCACAAGUUGCACCACAAAUUUUGAAAAACGCUGCAGAGCAAUAUCGAGCGUUUUUGGUCGCAACAAACAAAAAAUAAAAACACCACUCUUUAUAGUUAGCUAGCUAAAAAAAGACGAACAUGGAGGUUGAAAAUUCCAAUUUCCCACUUCCAGGGUAAGUCAAAAUCAACAUAUAUACAAAUACGGAUACUUUUAACGACCCCCCACUGCACCCCCACCCAGUCUCUUUCCAAACAGUCCAAAAGGUCAGAACAAUAAGAAUGGAAGAUUAGGCGUUUUACUAAGUACCAGUCCAUUCCCAUGACACAGCAGCCAUUUUGAUUAACAUUCUCCUUUUUUGUGUGUGUUUGUGGGUGGUAAAGCUUUGAUCAUGGACAUACAUCAGUUUUAAAACCUUCGGGAAUUGACUGAUAGCUGCAGUCGGAUGAAUCAAGCAACACAGAAAGUUCUGUAAUAAAGGUCUUUGGUAUAAAGUUGACUAGGGAAUAAUAAAGCAUGUUUGUUAUUGCUAGCGACGCGCAAACUGUACUCAUCCCUCCUCAGCGAGUUAAUUAUUCAUGUUGUUCAUGCCUUUUGUGAGCACUUUUUUUUCUUCUCACAUUCAGCAGUUUUCUACCAGACAUAAAUAAUCCUUAAAGGAAGCAGAGCUACACACAAUGGAGCCCACAAACAAGUCUGCCGCAAACUCUCGAAACUAGCGCUCAGAUCAGCAAAAACGACACUCCUCCCAGAGGAAACGGGACUCAGGUGGCAUCGAUACCUGCCAGGUUCGGGAGACAGGUAGGCAAUGCCUCAGUUUACCUUUGCCUGCUUCUGCGGCCUCCAUGGCCUGUGCCGGCGGAGAAAGAAGAAAAAGAAGAAACAAGAGGAACAGCAGCAGGACUACGAGACCGUGGUUUGACGAUUUGGGACUGAAAAUACACUUGGGUCUAUGCCAAAAAAAGUCUUUGUAAGCCCUCAGCAAACCUCAGGGCUGAUAUUAAGGGACUACUUUCCUAAGUUUCUUCAGGAGUUGUACUCAGUGAAAGAAAGUGAGACAAAGGCGAAGCACUCUUACAUUUUAGAUCACGUCCAUGAAUUAUGAGUGGGUGUUUCUGUUUCAGUGUGAUUCCACAGACUUGAUUGAUUACUGCAAAUCAUAUAUUCAGCAUAUCUUCAGUUACUCUGACACCGCAAAGAACUUCAAACAAAAAUUAGCUAUUCUAAUUGAAAAAAAAGAACAGAAGACGUUGUGUCGCCCCAAACCCCCCCUCCCCCGCCUCCAUAUUAAAGACAAGUUCAGGGUUUCAGAUAUUCAGGAACCAUGAAAACAUCCCACUAACAAUCAGAUCCAUUCUAAGUGAAUAUAUGAGUUUGGAAUUUGAUUAUAGUAUUUUUAGACAGCUUGAUUGAUAGUCUUUUCUAUUUAUUGCUUGAAAAUGAGUGCUUCAGCAGAGUCUGGCAGCCAUAGAGGUGCUCCACAGCACCUGGAUCUGGUGCCUUUAUUCUCCACCAGUUUGCCUGUUAAUUGCCUUCCCAGUAAUUAUGAACCCCUAGGAAGAUCCAAGUGGCCUCUUCGCAAAUGCCACCACAGUAAAGGAUGGGUACCAUCUGUCAUUUCUCGGGAACAUUUUAAGUCUGGCCCUUGGCAAGCGUCAACUGACUCCUCUUGAUUAUUGUGUGGAUUCUGGAAAAGGAUGUGGAAUGAAUUUAAAUGAAACCUGUGGGUGGUGGGAUUUUGUGUCAUUUUGAAGGGUGUGUCUGUGAAAUGGUUAGGAAACUACAUCAAACCACAUAAUCAGGCAGGGUAAAGCUUAUUCAUGUCACACUCUGAAUUAGACCUUUCCAAUCAUGCUGUCCCAAAGCAGUCUGGCAGACUAGUGAUAGAGCGUAGCGUGGACAUUUCCCAAUAAGACAAGAUUCAGGAGCCAGGUGUCCUCUCUCAAAGGACAUUAGGCAGGAAUGAGGAGUGACGAAUGUGCAAGUUAUUUCUAGACCUGUCUUCUCUGACCUAGACGGAGUUUCUUAGGUCCACGGUUUCUUUCUAAGGUUAAUGUGAUUAAGCCUUAAAUAGCAGCACAGACUGUGUCCAAAGGUCACAAUAUACAGAAGGUCACAAACACGCAAAAGUCGGCUCAUCACCUGGCUAACAAAAAUGCGUCCUUUCCCCCUUUGCUACACAAAGUUAUACAAUUAUGGCUAUUUUUAGAACAUUUAUGCAUGAAUAACCCCCAUCAGCCCUAUCAGCUCUACAUUAAUAUAUUCAAUUAAAAUUGGGGGUUGGGAGGGUGGGGGGUUGAAGCUCACCAUGGCAACUGGUCUGACCAAAACUCUGGCCUUUGGAUGCAGGGUUUGAAUGGCUUUGAAAAUAGCAGUAAUUGUGGUGGUAAAUGGCAGCCCUCAUUAAGGAAGGUGAUUAUGCAGUCCACGCAUGCGAGGAUGGGGCGAUGCAAUUAAUCUCGCUCAACAGGAAGCGCGCCAGGAUGACGGAUGCUCCUAAAUCUGAUGUCGCGGAAACAAAAGGGGAAGAAAAAGUCAGGGACUUAAACUUUGGAUAAUGUCCUUUUUGCAUAUUCAGAUUUAGAGGGCUUUCCAGAACCAGUUAAUAUGAGCCAAUGUUAUCCAAUGCGUAUCCUUUCAUCUACUUAUCCCAAGCCAUUCGGACCAUUCAGAUUUCACCUGCAAGUCAUGGUAAAGCCCUAAGCGUUUGAUCCUUGUAUUCAUUUGAACAAGUAUUCAAAAUGAGAGGCGGUUAAAUCGAUUCGAGUGAGUGUUUGUGAGACAAUUCAUCAGACCAAGUUAUCAUGUUACAGGAGCAAGCUUCUGUGGAAGUAAGGGGGGCCAAAUUUAAUGAGCAUGAGAUUGAAACGGCUGCUAAUUACCUGCAGCCGCACUAAUUCAUUGUGUCUGUCUUGCUGGCUCAGAGACUGCACUCUUUAUAGGUGGGUGGCAAUAAAUGAGUGCAUUGCAUCAGAUCGGCACUAUUUUUGCAUGUUUGCUCUGUUAAGCGAUGACAGGAGGCAAGAUUUAAUUACAGUUUUAACUUGCACCACCAAACACACUCAUUUUUCAGCACUGACGUCGGAUACGGUGUUUAGUGUUUCGUAGAAAGCGUAGUGUGCACAGGGGUUUCUACAUUGCAGCCUCGAAAACAAAUAGGUGCAUUAUGCCUUCCCAUUUUCUUUAAACCCAAACUGCCAUUAAACCCGAAUCUCCCAUCUGUCAGCACCCACUGAAAAGUGGCGGCGGCACAAAUGAUCCUUGUCGUGCACGGGUAGACAUUUAUUGCAUUCGGGCUUCAUUUUUCAGCUACAGCACAAAGAACCUGAGCGCGAGAGACAGGGAAGAGGGUGCUGACAUGCGUUCGUCCUGUUCCUUCUCCACCACGCUGACAGCCGACCUGUCUCCGUGCCUUAAUGAAGAUUAAAGCAGGUUUCCUCUUCUUAAGCUCCUGUAAUUAUCCGAUCGUCCAAUAGACAGGCGGGUAGGGCCUCUGCCGAUGGCAGCCUUAGAGAGAGGAAAGUUGAGAGGAGGACGCAAGAAGAUCAUGUAAUUGCGAUGGUAAUGGAUUUUGUCGGGAGCACCUGUCAUGGCCAUGGAGAAAACAGCCAAGGAAGGGAAUUGGAGUCAGGAUGCCAGCGAGCUGAGCCUCUGUCUGAGCCAAGCUCACCUGAUUGCCAAUUUAGGGGAGUCUUCAUGCAUCAAGCAUUGAGAGCAGGGGCGUUAAGGGGCCUAGGUGGCGAUUCACUGGGCAAACCAUUAAAGAAGGUGUCAGUGCGAAUAAGCGACCAGACGGGCAAGAGUGAAAGCUAAAACCAAACGACGUUUAAUUUCCAAUUGAGAGCAGGGGAAGAUGAAAAAGAAACGCACCACUGAAUUUCUCCAGCUAAUGUGAGGUUCCUGGUCAGACAUGCUCUGCUGAGCACAUGAAGUUGAUGCAAGUAGAGCUGGCAGCCUCACUUCGGUGAAUGAGGCCAGUUAAGUUAAGAAAAGUACACGGUCAAAAGGCAAAAUGGACAGGGCAGUCUUCUGUUGCAUGUAAACGUGGUCAGGCUGCGGCAAAAUUAAAUGUGUCUCAGGAAGGGCUGUUUCCUGUUUCCUACCCUAGCAAAAUCAUUCUCAAGUCUCCCCCACCCUGAACCCCCACCAACCAUAGCAACAUCCUAUUUAACCCCCAACCAAAAUCUCUACCAGACUUUGUGAUAUUCUACUUAACUCCCGCACCCCAAAUUCCCACCAAACCUAGUGAUAUCCUACUUAACCCCAUCCCAAACCCCCAUCAACCCAAGCAACAUCUUACUUAACAACCCACCCCAAAUCUCCACUAACUCUAGUGACACCCAGUUGCCCCAUCCAAUCCAAAGCUGUGUCAACCCUAGCAACAUCCUACUCCCCUCACCCAUAACCUUAACCAAACCUAGUGACACCUUACUUAACCCCCCACCCCAAAUUACCACCAACCCUAGCAACAUCAUACUUGACCCUCCAUCCAUCCCCACCAUACCUCUCAAAAAGGCAGCCCCCAGAUAAACCCUAAACCAUGAUAACAAUCACGGAUAUAAUUUCUAUGGCCCCUGGUGGCUCAGGGGUCCUAAACAACUGCUUCUACCACUUAUAGUAAAACAACACAAUUUUCAUGCUCAUCUUUACAAAGCAUCAAAUUUCAUGCUGUUUGUGUAUGCACUGUUUGAGCUGCUCAUUUACCGAGACGCAAACGCUUGCCAAAACACAAACACCAAACAGGCAAUAGCUGAAAAAAUGAUUAUUACUUUUGUUACGGCAGCUGCGCCCAGCUUGCAGUGUUUGCCAGGUGCGCAAAAUCAAUUCCAAAUGUGUUGUUUUUUGAAAGUACUUAAGGUGGGAUUGAAGAAACUUGGUAGAAAUAUCCAACACGGAGGUGCGUAUUUGAGGCUGGCAGCCAAGGGCAGGUGCCUGUUUAUCAGCAGUAAACGUUAACAACUUUUCUGGCAUUGAAAACUCCAGGGGAAGUGUUCUCUGUUGUUGACACUGCACACUUCAUUGCUUCCAGAGACAUUAGCUUGAUCUGGUGUGUGGCUGUGUCAGGGUGACCAAAGCGAAUUGCCACUGGAACAAACUGCACUCUAAGUUUAUCACCAUUUUUCGUGUUGGCCUUUUCGAAAAGUUUAGACAGGAUGAGUAAGAUGAAUGAGUCAGACUCCAACCCGCACAUUUAAUCUUAAUCAGAUGUCUAUCUCGGAUUUUAUUGAUUAGAUAAAUGAACGAAUCAAUAGGCACUCUCUUCUUGAUGUGUUGUUGUUCUUGCUUCGAUACUAAUAAAUGGGUCCUUCAUAUAAUCAAGGAAUCUUGUUCAUGAGGAUGGCAAAGACGUUUCUGUCCAAUCAGACGCCUCUAGUCAAACUCUAGUGGUUAGCAUUUUAUCUCAAAACUGCAGCGGAUUCCCUUUAAACCAUUUAAAGUUCCUCUUUAAUUGGCUGUCUUGGACUUUUUCAUCCCAUGGUUAUUUUACUGAGGAAAAUGUCAUUUCAUCGUGUUGUCCUGAACAUUUUAAAUUUCCUUCAGAAAUAUGAGUUGUCCACCACAGAGAGAUGUAAUAAAUAUUGAUUUCACCCAAAGCGUGAAUUUUUCUACCGAACGUGAGGCAACUGUAGUUUUACCAGCUUAAUUAUACAUUGUUGAGCCAGGGAAGAAAACUCUCAUUAAUGUGUUUCCAUCCACAGACUCCCUCAGUAUCGCCUGCUGUCAGUUCCACUAGGUGCGAACAAUAGGGAAAACAUCAGCGUUAUAAUUUGCUCUUCUCUCAUUCUCUUAAUGGAGACCCGCUCUUUAGGAAAGGAGAUAUGCCCUAUUGAAGCGUUCCUCAUCACCGAUUAGCUUCUCAUAGCAGCCGAUUGUGUUUCUCAGACAUGCCUUGCAAAAUAAUUCCCUUCGUAGCCUUUUCAUUUUUCAAGAAAGCAGCGCUUGUGAAAGAGAGACGGCUUUUGUCUAAGACUUUCCAGGCUCGGAGUUAAUCGGGAAUCAAACGUUACGCCUUUGUUUCGUUUGACUUGGAUGCUCUGUCUCUUUUGGGAGGUUUGAUGAAGCCGCUUAGCUUUACCUUUCUCCCUCGUUUUCUUCCCCUCUCUCUCUCUCUCUCUCUCUCUCUCUCUCUCUGUCUUGCAUUAUCUCACUGUGCCCGAGUCAGCAGCCGUAGCGAGCUCGACACUGCUUGUAAGCGGCUUCUCUGUGUUCCAGGCAGUGAGUUUCAUUACUCAUUGUGCCGAAGCACAGAGGCGGCUCGUGCACACUCACCACUGAGGAGAGUGAGACUGUAGUACACAAUGUCCCAUCUUCCUUCUCUCUCCAAAAUAACACAGAACAAUGACGGUACAGGUGGGACAGGAUGUAAAUGCGGGUGAUUCCAUGAUUGCAGUACUUUUACAUUUAGCCUUUGUUUUUUUUUCUUUCUUUUUUUAGCAUUACAUGACAUCCAUUUAAAAAAAAAAUAGCAUAACACUGAAUCUAAGAAAACACGCAUUUAACCAUCUCACGUGACAAUCCCAUGUUUUACAACGGCUGUAUUUUGCUCUUAAAUGAUUAACAAAGUGGAGUUUGAGCCGUCGUUGUUGUUUUUUUUUUUAAUAGAAUAGUAUAGAAUUAUCAAAUACACAACAUGUGCUUAACUUGAAUCUGUCCAAUCACUGGAAAAAAAAGAAUGAACGUGCUUACUUUUCUUCUUCCUAUGGUCUUCAGGGAAUUUGAAUGAUGCAACGUCCUGUUGAACAUGUGACUUGUGGAAUGUUCCAAAUAUUUCGUAGGGGUGAAUGUGUUCAGGUAAGAUUUUUCAGAACGUAUAAUGGACGACUCGUGGUGAAGGAUGCGAAUAUCUAUCAUGUGAUAGAUGAAUUUACACAUUAAGCCAGAAAUACUAAGAGGUUUGAAGUAAUUUGUUUAUAUUUCAAGGUAAAAUGGAGUUAAGAGUGCUGUAGGUUUUGUAGGGUUUAUUCGAGUUUUUUAUCUGAAACAUGCGCAUAGGUUCUUUUUUUGUCUUUUUUUUUUUUUUUUUUUUUACAUUUACAUACAUAUUAAAGACAAUGAUAAAUGUAAUAUCAGUUGAACACAGAUGGCAACCCAAUCGUGGAACCACCCAAUGUGUAUCAGAGUGAUGAUUACGAACAUAAACAUGAGCGUCUAGCUGUUUUUUUUAUACAUUAUUGUGAUCAUAUUAUAAACCGUGACAGGGAUUUAACAUCGGCGUAGCUUCAUGGAGAGAAACUAAACCAUUUCCACUUCUUCUCCACCAAGCUUCCUGAUCUUCAGUCACUUAACGUUGAUGGCACUUGUGUUGAUUAAGGGUCGUGAGCUGUGCAUCCUCGACACAGUACCAGAUGCCUGGACUGGAGAGAUCUUAGUUUCUCCUAAUCAAGCUUAUGUGCCUGUCUUUUUUCUGCGUUUAAGCCUCUGUAGAAAUUACCACACGCUCCAGGCUCAAUCCUCGUGCCGGGGAAGACGUGAUAUCCGAGACGCGUGUGGUUCAUCACACCUCAAGGUUAUGGUGCUUCAAAAAAAAUUGUUUGUGCGUUCACAGAGGGGAAAAAUAUCAAAUAUGUGUGCCAAGCGGUUCUAACAAAGAAAAAGAAAGAAAGUGCAAGCAUCAGCCCGUGGCAUCUCAGCAUGCCAUGCCUUGCUUUUUAGAGGCUAGACUUAAAGCGCAAGCUUACACCGUGCGUGUGUGAUUUGUGCUUGGCUGUUUGAAAUACAGAACACGUCUGCAUCGGAUGGAUCCCCGCGGCCCAGGGAGCCUCAUUAGAAAGACUCGUGUGCCAGUCUUAAAGCCGGGAUAAGCUUAGCAGCCAGGAGCUAGUGAUAAAGGAGUUAUGUAUCGCCGCCUUACACGCGCAUGACAAAAAGCCCUCUUAUCCAGGUGCCACGCGGCCUAACCUUAUAUAUCACAUGCUGCGGAGGAUGACACACAGCCAGAAACUGUUUGCUUUCGGUCGAAUCUUCUAUACCGAGAGAAUUAAUAGGCCUACUGUACAAGAUGGAAAGUGUGCGCAUGAUUGAACGAAUAUGUAACUACAUUCGCAGAGUGGAAUAAUUAUUGUUUUUUUUAAAAUUACCCAGAUAUCAAUCCUAAUCCCAGUCCCUUUGUACAUAUACGUGACGCUAGCCUCUUAGAGAUGUUUGUCUUCUCAUCUCAAGUAUCUCAAUUAGUGGUCAGCAAAUAUUCCAUCAAAUCUGUCAAAAUAACGUGCUAGAGUGCAAAUAUUUUAUAUUUGCAGUGAAAUCAAGAUCCUAGAUUGGGGGGGGGGGGGGGGUUCUCUCAAAACCAUGCUAAUGUUUAUUAUUCAUAUACUUUGGGAGUAUUCCAAAUUCCCACACAUUUCACAUGCGAUUUUAGGUUUUUCAUGGGAUUAUAUCAAUCACAUGUGAAAACAAAUCACACAUGUCAGAAAAUCACACGUGGAAACAUGAAACCACAACACCCUAGAAGGUUAGAAUGUGAAAAUAAAUGAAUUGUGAAUCAAAGUAAACAACUUGCAUGUAAAAAGCAUAUGCAAAGGUAAACGAAUCACAUUAAUCAAAUAAAUGAAUUGUGAAUCAAAGUAAACAACUCACGUGUAAAAAUCACAUGCGAAGGUAAACAAAUCACAUGAAUCAAAUAAAUGAAUCGUGUGUAAGAAUCGCAUCUGGGGGAAAACGAAUCAUGAAUCGACAUAAAUGAAUCAUGUGUAAGAAUCGCAUCUGGGAAAAACGAAUUAUGAAUCGACAUAAAUGAAUCGUGUGUAAAAGUCACAUGUGAAAAACGUGUCAAUUUGAUGUGUGAAUCAUGUGACUCAUCACAUGUGAAUUUCAUGUGACUUUUCCUUAAGGGUUCUCUUCAUCUUUUUUUUUAGACAAAUAUUCCAACAACAUAAUAAGUUAGAGCUCAAAUAUUUUACAUUCGCAGUGUAAUCAAUGGUACUGUAAUUUUCUGUAUACUGGUGUACAUAUACUGUGACUGAUGACAUACACAACAAUAAUAACUAAGAAUGAAUUAAAUACACAAUAAUUAGCAGUCUAUAUUUGUAUUUUAUAACUUGCAGGUUUAGGAACGAUGUCCUAUAUAAUCUCUUUUGAAAAUGUGAGUGCAAUGAGUUGUGUGCCUUUUUUUUCCUUGUCCAAUAUAUUAGAAGCCAAUUAUUAAUAUGCAUAUUUGUCCCAAGAGAGCCAUAGACUCAAUAAGCCAUGAUCGAGCCAAAUGAGAUGCAAAUGUUUUCAUUAAUAAAACAUAUUACUGUGAUCGCUGCUUGACUUGACUUGGUGAGAGAACAGCGCUUGUGCAAUGCCUGCUAAACUAAAAUGCCUACAACUCAAUCGAAACCCAAUAAUCAUGUACGUAAUUACGUUUUCUGGGGAGGGUUUUUCCCCCGUUUGGUUUAAAUGAAACCAUAAAUGCAUGCAUUUUUUUAAAUGUUUUUUUUGACUGGAAUAUACUUUCUAAUCUCUGUGCAAGCCAUGUUUUCUAAUAAAGACAUUUUACUCCAGUGCUUUUGAAUAAAACAUCUUUGUACAAUUUGCACAGUGAAGUGGGUCUUUGUGAUCAUUUUAGCAAGCUUUGCACAGUCAAAAUGGCUUUUAAUGACCACUCUUUCGCAUCUACACUGCACAAAUUUCACUAUAUUGCACUGUUGAGCACAUUAGUGUCUUCAUUUUUGCACCUUAGACUCGAACACAUUCUCACUGCUCCUCAUUAUCGUCUAGAUUCAAACUUUUCUGUAGGCACACACACACACACACACACACACACACACA
ensembl:lncRNA